AUUGAACGCUGGCGGCAGGCCUAACACAUGCAAGUCGAGCGAGCGGCGGACGGGUGCGUAAUGCCGGGGCAUUGCCCAGUCGAGGGGGAUAACAGUUGGAAACGAGUGCUAAUACCGCAUACGAUUGGAUUGCCCAGGAGGGGUUAGCUAUGUGGUGAGGUAAUGGCUCACAAAGGCGUCGUUCCCUAGCUGGUCUGAGAGGAUGAUCGGCCACACUGUGACGUAGACACGGCCCAGACUCCUACGUGAGGCAGCAGUGGGGAAUAUUGCGCAAUGGGGGAAACCCUGAUGCAGCCAUGCCGCGUGUGUGAAGAAGGCCUUCGGGUUGUAAAACACUUUCAGGGAGGAGGCGUUACUCGAAGAAGAAGCACCGGCUAACUCCGUGCCAGAAGCCGCGGUAAUUC
rnacentral:rRNA from 1 species